rnacentral:misc_RNA from 1 species
GAGGAGUAUGGGUUGAUUUACGCGAGGGUGCUGGGAGAAGGGGAUGAUGCUUCGUCACCGAUUGGGCGUGGUUGGCACUCGACAUUUCUGACCAAAGAUAAGAGCAUAGCUGAGGAAAGGGCAGCCCGACUUGGCAUGAAAUUGGAAUGGACAGACGACGGGGUUAAAACAAUAAUGGGCCCAAUUCCGGCUAUUAAAUAUGAUGAAACUCGAGGUCGCAAAAUAUGGUUCAACAGCAUGGUGGCGGCUUAUACCGGCUGGAAAGACGCACGCAACGAUCCUGUUAAGGCUGUGACUUUCGGUGACGGCUCGCCUUUACCUGCUGAUAUAAUCCAUGACUGUUUGAGAGUCCUAGAAGAAGAAAGUGUUGCAAUACCUUGGAAGCAGGGCGACAUUCUCCUGCUUGACAAC